rnacentral:rRNA from 1 species
GAUGAACGCUCGCGGCAGGCCUAACACAUGCAAGUCGAGGGAGAAGCCUUUCGGGGCAGCAACCGGCGCACGGGUGCGUAACGCGUAUGCAACCUACCUUUCACAGGGGGAUAGCCCGAAGAAAUUUGGAUUAAUACCCCAUAAUAUUGUUGGAUGGCAUCAUCUGAUAAUUAAAACUGCGGUGGUGAAAGAUGGGCAUGCGUCCUAUUAGCUAGUUGGAGUGGUAACGGCACCCCAAGGCUACGAUAGGUAGGGGUCCUGAGAGGGAGAUCCCCCACACUGGUACUGAGACAGGGACCAGACUCCUACGGGAGGCAGCAGUGAGGAAUAUUGGUCAAUGGUCGGAAGACUGAACCAGCCAUGCCGCGUGCAGGAAGAAUGCCUUAUGGGUUGUAAACUGCUUUUAUAUGGGAAGAAUAAGGUGUACGUGUACAUUGAUGACGGUACCAUAUGAAUAAGCAUCGGCUAACUCCGUG